GAUGAACGCUGGCGGCGUGCUUAACACAUGCAAGUCGAACGAUGAACCUCACUUGUGGGGGGAUUAGUGGCGAACGGGUGAGUAACACGUGAGUAACCUGCCCUUGACUCUGGGAUAAGCCUGGGAAACCGGGUCUAAUACUGGAUACGACCUUCUGGCGCAUGCCAUGUUGGUGGAAAGCUUUUGUGGUUUUGGAUGGACUCGCGGCCUAUCAGCUUGUUGGUGGGGUAAUGGCCUACCAAGGCGACGACGGGUAGCCGGCCUGAGAGGGUGACCGGCCACACGGGGACUGAGGCACGGCCCAGACUCCGACGGGAGGCAGCAGUGGGGAAUAUUGCACAAUGGGCGCAAGCCUGAUGCAGCGACGCCGCGUGAGGGAUGAAGGCCUUCGGGUUGUAAACCUCUUUCAGUAGGGAAGAAGCCGGCUUUUGGGUUGGUGACGGUACCUGCAGAAGAAGCGCCGGCUAACUACGUG
rnacentral:rRNA from 1 species